rnacentral:rRNA from 1 species
GAUGAACGCUGACAGAAUGCUUAACACAUGCAAGUCAUUGGCGAAGCUGCGCUUGCGCAGUCUAGCCAAGGCGGACGGGUGAGUAACGCGUAAGGAACUUGCCCUGCAGACAGGGAUAACAGACGGAAACGACUGAUAACACCUGGUAUUGUCAGGCUGGCGCAUGCCGGCCUGAUGAAAGGAGACACUGCAGGAGAGCCUUGCGUCCUAUUAGCUAGUUGGUGGGGUAACGGCCCACCAAGGCGAUGAUAGGUAGCCGGCCUGAGGGGGUGAACGGCCACAAGGGGACUGAGAUACGGCCCUUACUCCUACGGGAGGCAGCAGUGGGGAAUAUUGGACAAUGGGGGCAACCCUGAUCCAGCAAUUCUGUGUGCACGAAGAAGGUUUUCGGAUUGUAAAGUGCUUUCAGCAGGGAAGAAGAAAGUGACGGUACCUGCAGAAGAAGCGACGGCUAAAUACGUG